CCCUUCGACCCCGAUCGACGACCCGGCGACUGGGUCCGACGGGAACUCUUCCUUCCGGCCACCUCACGACGGCGCACUGGCGCCAAUGGCUUCCUCUCCUUGUCGCCGACGUCUUUAUGGGGUUAGAUUGUCCAGUCAGCAUCUCUGGGAAGAGAACUGAAGCUUGGUGUUUCCCGGCGGAUUCUCAGCAUGAGCUCUGAGACAUGAAUUGCUACUGUUGUCCUGAUGUUUGAAUAGAGAUGGAUGUUGACUUUGAAGCUCUGUCAAUCAAAUUGGGCUGUGGUCGCAACACGGGAAUUAGCAAAGGUAAAUUGUAAAACCCAGACUCGGAAUUAUGCUAUGUUGGUUGAUUGUGCAGAAUGGGUUGUUUCUCACGGUUGGAAUUGAAAAUGAUGAUCAUGGCAUGAUUGUUUGAUUUUAAUAUUUGGAAGGUGAUGACAUGCAUGAUUAUCUCCCCACCAUGACAAGGACGAUGUUUCCAGGAAAGGAAUGAAAUAUAUUUAAUUCUAUUUGAGUUAAUUGUAAAUGGUGAACUCGAGUUGGUUUUCGUGGGUUUGAUCUACUGUCAAUUUUAGGCUGAGAUCAAAUACCCGAUAUGUGUAUAUUUGUGUUAUGUAUAUGAUUAUCCACUGUGAUGGAGUUAAUAAGUCAUUAUCAAGACUAGUGUUGGUAUUAAAGUGUAAAUAGUUGAGCCUAGUGUUGGGUUGUCGUGUGGUGAUCUGCUGUACGAAAGAAAAGAGUUCGGAAACUGAGUUGUUGCAUAUGGUCUUUGACUAAGUUUGAUUAUUGGACUGUAAACAUGAGUCGGAAUUUAUUAAUUCAUGGUAAAGUCUUGUAUUUGGAAUGGAAUUGUUGGAUUUACAGAAGUGUUUCUAGUUG